AUAUUGGACAAUGGGCGAAAGCCUGAUCCAGCCAUGCCGCGUGAGUGAUGAAGGCCUUAGGGUUGUAAAGCUCUUUUGUCAGGGAAGAUAAUGACGGUACCUGAAGAAUAAGCACCGGCUAACUUCGUGCCAGCAGCCGCGGUAAGACGUAGGGGGCUAGCGUUGUCCGGAAUCACUGGGCGUAAAGAGCUCGUAGGCGGUCUGUUAAGUCGGGUGUGAAAGCCCUCGGCUCAACCGAGGAAUUGCACUCGAUACUGGCAGGCUAGAGUCAAGCAGAGGGAAGUGGAAUUCCCGGUGUAGCGGUGAAAUGCGCAGAUAUCGGGAAGAACACCGGUGGCGAAGGCGGCUUCCUGGGCUUGUACUGACGCUGAGGAGCGAAAGCUAGGGGAGCG
rnacentral:rRNA from 1 species